GCAAGUCGAACGGGCUGUUCUUCGGAGCAGCCAGUGGCGCACGGGUGCGUAACCCGUAGGUAAUCAACCCUUGAGUUCGGGAUAACACUGCGAAAGAGGUGCUAAUACCGGAUGUGACGAUCGGAACUUCGGAACUGAUCGGGAAAGAUCCGCAAGGAUUGCUCGAGGACGAGCCUGCGGCCCAUCAGCUUGUUGGUGAGGUAAAAGCUCACCAAGGCUAAGACGGGUAGCCGGCCUGAGAGGGUGAUC
rnacentral:rRNA from 1 species